UACGUAGGUGGCAAGCGUUGUCCGGAUUUACUGGGCGUAAAGAGCGCGCAGGCGGUCGUGCAAGUCGCGUGUGAAAGCCCCCGGCUCAACUGGGGAGGGUCACGCGAUACUGCUCGACUUGAAGGCAGGAGAGGGAAGUGGAAUUCCCGGUGUAGUGGUGAAAUGCGUAGAUAUCAGGAGGAACACCAAUGGCGAAGGCAGCUCGCUGGGACGUGACUGACGCUGAGACGCGAAAGCGUGGGGAGCAAACAGG
rnacentral:rRNA from 1 species